rnacentral:rRNA from 1 species
UACGUAGGGUGCAAGCGUUGUCCGGAAUUAUUGGGCGUAAAGAGCUCGUAGGCGGUUUGUUGCGUCGGCUGUGAAACCCACGGCUCAACCGUGUGGUCUGCAGUCGAUACGGGCAGGCUAGAGUUCGGUAGGGGAGACUGGAAUUCCUGGUGUAGCGGUGAAAUGCGCAGAUAUCAGGAGGAACACCGGUGGCGAAGGCGGGUCUCUGGGCCGAUACUGACGCUGAGGCACGAAAGCGUGGGGAGCAAACAGG